AUGUACAUUCCUACAACAUAAUGCUAUUGCACCAGAUCCCAUUAGAACUUCAUAGCUAAGCUUGCUCAGGAUAAAGUAGUACUAGGAUGGGUGACCCCAUGGGAGGACCUAGAAUUUUACAUU
rfam:Picea glauca, whole genome shotgun sequence.